UACGAAGGGGGCUAGCGUUGCUCGGAAUGACUGGGCGUAAAGGGCGCGUAGGCGGCUUGCACCGUCAGAUGUGAAAUUCCUGGGCUUAACCUGGGGGCUGCAUUUGAUACGUGUGGGCUUGAGUGCGGAAGAGGGUCGUGGAAUUCCCAGUGUAGAGGUGAAAUUCGUAGAUAUUGGGAAGAACACCGGUGGCGAAGGCGGAUCUCUGGGCCUUACCUGACGCUCAGGUGCGAAAGCUAGGGGAGCGAACAGG
rnacentral:rRNA from 1 species